rnacentral:sRNA from 1 species
UAUGAAAUAUAAUGGUAAAACACAGUGG